UACGGAGGGUGCAAGCGUUAUCCGGAUUCAUUGGGUUUAAAGCGCACGUAGGCGGCUUCUUAAGUCAGGGGUGAAAUCCUGGAGCUCAACUCCAGAACUGCCUUUGAUACUGAGGAGCUUGAGUCCGGGAGAGGUGAGUGGAACUGCGAGUGUAGAGGUGAAAUUCGUAGAUAUUCGCAAGAACACCAGUGGCGAAGGCGGCUCACUGGCCCGGUACUGACGCUGAGGUGCGAAAGCGUGGGGAGCAAACAGG
rnacentral:rRNA from 1 species